rnacentral:rRNA from 1 species
CUAAUACAUGCAAGUCGAGCGGAGUCUUUCGGACAGAAGCCUUCGGGCGGACGACUGAAAGACUUAGCGGCGGACGGGUGAGUAACACGUGGGCAACCUGCCCGUAAGUCGGGGAUAACCAGUGGAAACAUUGGCUAAUACCGGAUGUGGUCUUCUUGCUGCAUGGCGAGGAGAAGAAAGAGGGAGCAAUCUCUCGCUUACGGAUGGGCCCGCGGCGCAUUAGCUGGUUGGUGAGGUAACGGCUCACCAAGGCGACGAUGCGUAGCCGACCUGAGAGGGUGAUCGGCCACACUGGGACUGAGACACGGCCCAGACUCCUACGGGAGGCAGCAGUAGGGAAUCUUCCGCAAUGGACGCAAGUCUGACGGAGCAACGCCGCGUGAGUGAGGAAGGCCUUCGGGUCGUAAAGCUCUGUUGCCAGGGAAGAAUGGCUUGCAGUUAACUGCUGCAAGUUUGACGGUACCUGAGAAGAAAGUCCCGGCUAACUACGUGCCAGCAGCCGCGGUAAUACGUAGGGGGCAAGCGUUGUCCGGAAUUAUUGGGCGUAAAGGGCGCGCAGGCGGCCGUUUAAGUCUCGUGUUUAAUCCCGGGGCUCAACCCCGGUACGCAUGGGAAACUGGAUGGCUUGAGUGCAGAAGAGGAGAGUGGAAUUCCAUGUGUAGCGGUGAAAUGCGUAGAGAUAUGGAGGAACACCAGUGGCGAAGGCGG